CCGCUUGUUUCCAGGACGCAGCAGACAACCACCCACCCGAGCUCGAACGGCCGGACGCGCUAGCUCGAACUGCCGCACGUCAUCCCUUGAACAGUCGGGCCUACUGUUCACUGAGCUGGCAGUCCCCUGGCCUCUGUCCGUCAGCGCGGCUCGUGGGCUCCUCUCUUCCAGAAACAUGGUGAAGAUCUCGGCAGUAAACUAUGCAAAAAUUUAACAAAUACUCAGGUCCAACUUGCAAACAUGUAGCAGUUCUAUAGUACGUGUGUUAUAAGUACUGUACUGGCUCCCGGAGGUCAGACCUCACAUUCAGUACUAUAUACUGGCUCUAUACUCUUGCCGCAAUACUAGAAUUCAGUAGCAUUGUGCAUUGCCUUGACGUUCUUGUGCCUC
rnacentral:rRNA from 1 species